rnacentral:rRNA from 1 species
AAGAGAGAGACAUGCGCGCAUAUCAAUAAGCGGAGGAAAAGAAACUAACAAGGAUUCCCCUAGUAACGGCGAGUGAAGCGGGAAGAGCUCAAAUUUGAAAUCUUAAAGGGUUUCCCUUUACGAAUUGUAGUUUAAAGAAGUGUUUUCUGAUGAGGUUUUGGUAAAAGUUCUUUGGAAUAGGACAUCAUAGAGGGUGAGAAUCCCGUAUUUGACCUUUACUUUCAACUUUGUGAUACACUUUCAAAGAGUCGGAUUGUUUGGGAAUGCAGUCCAAAAUGGGUGGUAAAUUUCAUCUAAAGCUAAAUAUUGGCGAGAGACCGAUAGCGAACAAGUACCGUGAGGGAAAGAUGAAAAGAACUUUGAAAAGAGAGUUAAACAGUACGUGAAAUUGUCAAAAGGGAAGCGUUUGACACCAGUGUUGUUUUUCUGAAAAUCAAUUAAAGAACUGUUUAUGCUAAGUUGUUUAGACUUUAUCAGCUAACUGUUUAGUUUUGAGCUUUUCUUUAAUGCACUUUUCAGUUAACAAGUCAACAUCAAUUUCUUUUGCUGUAAAAAAGCUUGAGGAAGGUGGCUUGAGAUUCGUCUUAAGUGUUUAUAGCCUCUUGCCUAUGCAGUCGGAGAGAUUGAGGUCUGCAGCGUAGAUCCUUCGGGGCUAAAUGCAUUUGUGCUAAGUUAUAGCAUUUUAUAGACAACUUGUUGACUAUGAUUUGUCUUGUAGCUUACUCGCUUAUGUUAUUUUACCUACGCUUAGGAUGUUGAGCGCAUGUCUCUCUCU